rnacentral:rRNA from 1 species
UAAUAUGUUAGGAAUUAGGUAGUAAUGAUAAAUCUGAAACCUAAAGAACUUGGCGGUGUUUUAAAUAAUUGGAGGAACUUGUUGUUUAAUUGAAAUUCCACAACAUAUCUUACCUUAUUUUUGUUUGUAUAUCGUUGUUUUCAGACAACAUUUGAAGGUGUAGUCAAAAUUAAAAAUUUUCAUAAAAUCAAAUCAAGGUGCAGCAUUAUGGGGUUACAGUGAGUUACAAUACGUUUUAUGUAAACGGAAAUCAAAAUGAAAGUUAUGAAUGAAGGUGGAUUCAAAAGUAAUAAAAUAUUAAAAAGUUUUUAUGAAUAAAGAUUUAAAAUAUGC